rnacentral:rRNA from 1 species
UACAGAGGGGCAAGCGUUGUUCGGAAUUACUGGGCGUAAAGGGCGCGUAGGCGGCCUGUUAAGUCGAACGUGAAAUCCCCGGGCUCAACCCGGGAACUGCGUCCGAUACUGGCAGGCUUGAAUCCGGGAGAGGGAUGCGGAAUUCCAGGUGUAGCGGUGAAAUGCGUAGAUAUCUGGAGGAACACCGGUGGCGAAGGCGGCAUCCUGGACCGGCAUUGACGCUGAGGCGCGAAAGCCAGGGGAGCCAAAGC